rnacentral:sRNA from 1 species
AACCUUGCUGUUUCCAUAGCGACUGUGAUAGGACCAAUCAGAUUACCUGUGACAUGUAUUAUUGUAUAAUGACACUUGUGUAUGAUUUAAAUACUGCUGAAGAAAAGGAAUUGACAGACUGCUAAAAGAAUGUAAUAUGACAUUUAUGAAAUAAUGCAAAUGCAUUUUUGAUUUCUGUUAUAUAAAAAAGAAAUGGAGAAUCUACUGUGUAAAAAUAGACAGACACAGUCCAGAGAAAAAAAUGAAGCCAAAUUGUCACCUAUAAGUGCUCCUGAGAAUUCAGACAUUCCAUUUAAUUUUUUGUGUACAUUUUAUAGUCAUUAUUUAUAGUCAUAGUAUAAAGUGAUGAUAUAUACAAAUCAAAAUCCUAUAAUGAUGUUGUCCUAUUGAUGUUCAAGAGAUUUAAGAUUGUAACAGGAUGUUAUUUACCAUAAUUGAUAGUUUUGAUUGUUAGGAAAACUGCAUAAUUAAUUGUCUGAGUUAGUAAAUAAGAUUUCUGUGGUUCUAAAUCAAUGCAUGUACAUUGUACACGAUAAUCCAUUUUUACUGUUUCAUUUUGUAAUUCAUGAUUUAUAUUUUGUAAUAUAAAAAAGUGCCUAAUUGUUUGACAUCUUGUGCAUUAAUUUUGAAGAAGACAUAAUAUCCCUCCUACAGCACUGUAGAUGGACUGUUUGAAAGUAAUAUUUAAACUGUCACUUAUAUAUACAGCCGUGCGUAGAUAUCAAUUUUCAGGUGCAAUCAUUAGCCACAGACUUUGAAUCAUGUUAGAUGAAUUUUAUUUUCUGUAUGUGUAUGUACAAGAACUUCAUAUCAUAAGAUAAAUGUGAAAAAACUGAAUGCUUAUAUCUUUGUGUACAAGUUAAUGAAAGCAUUUACAUAGAAAGUAAAAACCUCAGUAAACUGUAGUCAUUCCAGUAUUCUAUAGAAAACUGCUGUAUUGUAUUGUGAUCAAACACAUGUUUAAGAUAUAUGGCAGAUUUAGCAAACUGAGAAAGUGAUGUAUGAAAUUAGGUGUUCUGUGCAAUUGUUGAUGUCUACAUAGAGUGAAAGGGACAUAACUCCAGGUGUGCAUGAUAACCAAGUAUUUUCAUGUGCUGUUACUUGUUGACAGAUUAUUUUUGAGAGAAGUUGUUUAUUUUUGUUGAUUAAAUAAACUAGAUGUGCCUGUUGUAAACGUGAGAUUUUUAUCCCCAAAAGUUGCAGUCAUUGCAAGUUCUUAAAAAAUAGAUCUGUAUGAUGCAUGAAGUCUUUGUAGAAAUCCAUAUUUUACUGCAGGAACACUUGAUAUGUAAAGGCACCUACAUCUGAUACUUUUUGAACGUUUUAUUUUGAUUUUGCACUAUACAGCAAUAGAUUCAGUAGAAUGUAAAAAUGAGGAUUUAUUACUGUUAUUCAUAAUCAAUAGUCCAAUAUUGCGCAACAGGAAGGGAAUUUUACCUGUCCAGUUGGAAUUUCAGUGCUUACAGAUUUCAUCUUAUACUAUGAAUACCUGACAGUAUAAGAACUUUACUCUGUAAUCCACAAAGAAUUACAGCAUGUAGUUUACUAUUUUCAGUAUGGCGAUACAUAUAUAGGGCUCUUUACAUAAAUUGUUGAUUUUCUUUCUUUUUUCUAAAGGAUACAUUUUCUUGUUAUUUUCAAACCUUUAAUGUUGUAUGAUAAAUAGGUAGAUAAAAUUAGUUAGCAUGAAUGUGCUGCCGUCCCAAAAGUUAUAAGAAGUAAAUUAUUUAUUUUGUUGUCUCGCAAACUAUUUUCCCUCAAUAUUCUUUUUUAUAUACUAUCAAUAACUGAACUUAUAUGGUCACCACUGUGUUGAAACAUUUCUGCUGAUUUUUGGACUGGUUUCAAGCUUUGAUUUGUAGUGAGAGCAUGCAUGUAGGUGCUUUAAGCUGUCUUGUUAACUGAUAUGAUGUAAACUCAAUGCAAUAUUAUUAAAUGACUCAACUG